UGAGGCAGAGGGGCACCAAGAUGUCAUCCUCACUCUUUUCUUAUUGGAAGCCCAGAGACAAAAGUCAAGAUGAACGGCAAUAGGUGGCAGAGUGGAAUCGGAGGACUUAUCUUCUUGAGUUCAAAUUUGACUUCAAACUAGCUGUGUGAUGCUGGGCAAGCCAUUUAACCCUGCGAAGAGGUGAAUAGCAGAACAAAAAAAGAGGAUUUCAAAAAUCAUGGUGAUUCCUUGUUUCUUCCAGGUUUUAUCAAGUACAAGAAAAAUCACUCAGAAGACUCCAACCACACAACUAACUUCUGAUUUGAUCUGAAUCCCUGCUGCAUUUAGAAGUAUUCACAAACACUUGAAUGAACUAUGUUUUUAUGUUUACAUUUCCUUUCUUCAUUCUUAUCUCAGGACUUCUACUUGCCCAGGGAAGAGAGUGACUGUUCAGUAAAACCACACAUUCUAGGCCACAUCCAGGAGUCAGGUAUCCUCUGAUGUGGUAUCCAGAUGGUGGAAAUAAAAUCUGGCCAUCAGUAAUAAGUAAAUAAGAGUUCUGUGGAAGAUGAAUUUGAAGAGGGAUAAACUGAAGGUAGUUCUCCCUUAUAGAACAGAAAAUGAAACAUUUUUGGAAUGCCUCUCCAUUCUUUAGGUUAUCAGGAGCAAUGAAAUGUUUAAAACAAAACCCAGAAGUAGGACUUCCCUGCAGAAACGGUGAGAGACAGGAUCUGAAGUGAUUGAAGAGAAAUUUGAUCUUUAUUAAAAGGGUAAAGAGCAGAAGAAAUACAGAUGGAAAAGGGAAAGGAAAAUAUGACAACUGCAUACUUAAAACUUAGAAAAAGAUUUGAGGUUCUUUCUAAGUAGGAAGUAACUGCUUAUCUUAUAAAGAAUGAUAAAUUCUAAAGCCACAGACCCUACAAUUGAAAGAGCAUCUCUCUGGGUAUAUGGGUAUAUCUCUAAAAUGCUGUAAGGGAAUAAGCAUUUAUAAAGAAUCUAUCAUGU